AGUAUUCGAAAGAGUAUCGCAAUUGAGAGUGUGAGAAUAUUGAAUUUUAAGUUUUCAAUAAAUCAAUGAUCUGCAUAGAAGGGUCGUGCCCCCUUUAAUAGUGCAGAAAGUAAGUAAGAAAAGUAAGGAAAUAUUCAGUAAAAUCAAUCUCCCUUUAGUUAGGAUUCUAAUUUCAAUGGGUAAAACCAAUUAAGGAAAGGGUUUUUUGAUUAAAACCUUUUCAAAGUAGCACAAAAUGGGUAAAUACAUAGAAAUCAUUUAAGGAAAGCAUUCAAUGGUACACAGUUUGUGACAAAUAUGGAAAGGAGUCAAUCAACAGCCAAUAAAAAAAUCAGAAAUUGAGUUUUGCUAUGAAUGAAUCUGACCAUGAAAGGUGAGCAAAGGUUUAAUUAAAGAAAAUCAAUAACAAUCAAACAACCUUAUUAAAAGGAACUUUGAAUCAAUCACAAAUUGGUAAAACCCUUUUGAAGGAAGAAUCUCUCAUAUAUAAAGCAUACAGACAUGUCAAAUAAGAAAGAACUGUCAAGCUAAUUAGAAAGAAUCUAGUAUAGAAAUGUUCAGAGUCACAAACAAAGAGGCUUGAAACCAGUACUUAGGCUCGGACUUAGUUUGAGAGAAUACAGGGUCCAUAAUAGAACCCUAGUCCAAAUACAAGACCAAACUCGCCAAAAAACCCCAAAUCCUAGGGUUUUCAACUUGAGUCAGAUGUAGAGACAAGAAGGCAAAUAACUGAAACAGAUUCAGAAAUCUCUUUCAGAGACUCACGAGAAAACAAACAGGUAAAAUAGUAGCUUCGAAACAACCAUAGUGUAAGAGCUGAUUUGAAGCAUAAAGAACAUAUUUUAGAACGCUUGGAACUUAACAAGUUAAGAGGACAAAAAGGUAGUAUAAACUUAAGGAAAUAGUAGAUGAAAUAUGUCUAGAAAGAACUUCAGACAAAGUUCAGAAGAAGGCAAAUAAAGAACUUGUCACACUUAGUAGAAAAAAUACAGUAGAAGAACACCAAAACAUAGUAAAAAACAUAUAGAAGAACAUAGUAAGAUAGUCAUACAAGAUCAUGGUAGAAGGAAGAAUACAAGAAUACAGUAGGAGCAAGUACACGUAAAGGAAAAGGAAGGCCAGAAAUCACUUAAACAUUUUAGAAAACCAUAGAUCGGAAAAGAAAGAUCUUUAAAAAAGAAUAUUUCAAAGAAAAAUUGGGGAAAUCGUUUGAAAACUCAAGUGGAGCAUAGAUACAUGACAGAUCUAAGGAAAGAAAAUCAUAAAGAACCCCGAAUAGCCAUGGAUUGCAGAGAAAACCCUAGAAAUGAGAAAGGUCUUGAGGAAAGUCUGAUCCUGAGUCGAAAAGACUCAUAUUACUCGAAUAUGCCAGAGUAAUGGCCAAAGAAGACAUAGAUCUAUAGAUCAAAGAAGAUCUGAAAGGGAACCAUCAAGUUCAAGACCCUGAUUCUUUAAAUAUCAAGCACACAUGAGUAAUAGAUGGUGAGUAUGAGGUUAUCAUGACCGGAGUAGUCAUGAUUUUCGGUGAGCUCGAGGUAGGAGACUGUGAGAUAGGCUAGAGUUUCGAGAGGGUUAGAGAGAAUUUGGAAAGGAGAGGGAUUUCAGAGGUGGCAGAUGAGUAAAAGUGAGGGAAUUAGGAUAGUGAUUUGGAAUUAAUUACAGAAGCAGAGCAAUGGCCGGAGAAGCUAUAGAUCCAAAGAUCUGAGAAGAUCAGAAAGAGAGCCAUCGAGGUCAAGGCUUUGGUUCUUCGAAUAUUGAGAACAUAUGAGUAAUAGAGGGUGAGUAUGAGUUUAUCACGACCGGAAUGGCCAUGAUUUUCGGUGAGCUUGAGGUAGGCAAUAGUGAGAUAGGCUAGGGUUUCGAGAGGGUUUGAGAGAGUCCUAAGAGAUCAGAG
rnacentral:lncRNA from 1 species